rnacentral:tRNA from 1 species
GUGAAGUUAGUUUAAGUAAAAUGACAAAUUGUGGAUUUGUAGAUAAAUCGAGUUUACUUUACU